rnacentral:misc_RNA from 1 species
AAGUCGUAACAAGGUUUCCGUAGGUGAACCUGCGGAAGGAUCAUUACCGAGUUCAUGCCCUCCGGGGUAGAUCUCCACCCUGUCUACUCUACCUACUGUUGCUUUGGCGGGCCGCCCGUCAGGCCACCGGUCCACCGCUGGUGUGCGCCCGCCGAGGGACCCCAAACCCCAAACAUCAAAUGCGUGUCGUCCGAGUACAAUCUAAUAGUUAAAACUUUCAACAACGGAUCUCUUGGUUCUG